CAGAGACUGCAAGCGUUAUUCGGAUUCACUGGGCGUAAAGGGUGCGCAGGCGGCCAAGUGUGUGAGGCGUGAAAGCCCGGGGCUUAACCCCGGAAUUGCACCUCAAACUACAUGGCUAGAGCAUUGGAGAGGGUAGCAGAAUUCAUGGUGUAGCAGUGAAAUGCGUAGAUAUCAUGAGGAAUACCAGAGGCGAAGGCGGCUACCUGGACAAUUGCUGACGCUCAGGCACGAAAGCGUGGGGAGCAAAAGGGAUUAGAUACCCCUGUAGUCCACGCCCUAAACGGUGCACACUAGGUCUUGGCGGAUUCGACCCCCCAGGGCCCAAGCUAACGCGUUAAGUGUGCCGCCUGAGGUCUACGGCCGCAAGGCUA
rnacentral:rRNA from 1 species